rnacentral:rRNA from 1 species
AGAGUUUGAUUAUGGCUCAGGAUGAACGCUGGCGGCGUGCCUAACACAUGCAAGUCGAACGGGACUUUACCGACAGAGAUUCGUCAAAGUUGGUUAAGUCCAGUGGCGGACGGGUGAGUAACGCGUGGAGAACCUGCCCUUUACCGGGGGAUAACAGAGGGAAGCUUCUGCUAAUACCGCAUAAGCGCAUAGUACCGCAUGGUACAGUGUGAAAAACUCCGGUGGUAAAGGAUGGCUCCGCGUUGGAUUAGCUUGUUGGCGGGGUAACGGCCCACCAAGGCGACGAUCCAUAGCCGGCCUGAGAGGGUGAACGGCCACAUUGGGACUGAGACACGGCCCAGACUCCUACGGGAGGCAGCAGUGGGGAAUAUUGCACAAUGGGGGGAAAAACCCCCUGAUGCAGCGACGCCGCGUGAAGGAAGAAGUAUUUCGGUAUGUAAACUUCUAUCGAUGGGGAAGAAAAUGACGGUACCCAGGUAAGAAGCCCCGGCUAACUACGUGCCAGCAGCGGC